GCCCCCAUAGCUCAAUGGCAGAGCAACGGACUUUUAAUCCGCUGAUCUCAGUUCGACUCUGAGUGGGGGCA
rfam:Candidatus Wildermuthbacteria bacterium RIFCSPHIGHO2_01_FTLL_49_22b rifcsphigho2_01_scaffold_6855, whole genome shotgun sequence.